rnacentral:rRNA from 1 species
GGAUGAAUAUUGGACAAUGGGGGAAACCCUGAUCCAGCCAUGCCGCGUGUGUGAAGAAGGCCUUAGGGUUGUAAAGCACUUUCAGCCGUGAAGAUAAUGACAGUAGCGGAAGAAGAAGCUCCGGCUAAAUUCGUGCCAGCAGCCGCGGUAAUACGAAUGGAGCGAGCGUUGUUCGGAAUCACUGGGCGUAAAGGGUGCGCAGGCGGUCAUGAAAGUCAGAAGUGAAAUCCCAGGGCUCAACCCUGGAAUG